GUCUCUCUAAAAUCCCUCAUCUCUCUCUUAUAUAGAAAAACCCUAGACACCAACUCGGACGAUCCCCAUCCCUCCGCCGCCGCUGCCAUCGCCGUCACCGUCGCCGUCGCCGCCUCCUCCAACGCCCAUCCCCCUCCCCAGACCCUGACCCUAGCCCUCCCCAUCCAGAACGCCUCCCCGAACCCAAACCCUAACCCUAGCGACAGCUGGAGCGACGGCGCCACCUCCGCCCUCAUGGACGCCUGGGGCGAGCGCUACCUCCACCUCCGCCGCGACAACCUCAAGCAGCCCCACUGGCAGGAGGUCGCCGACGCCGUCUCCUCCCGCGAGAACUACACGAAAGCGUGCAAAUCCAUCCAUGGUUAUUCGGGUGGUAAAUUUGGGUUGACCCGUUUAUGACCCGACCCAUGUAAUUCAACCCAUACCCAUUAUAAACGGAUCGGGCCGGGUUGACGGGUCGGGAAAAUUGCCACUUAGAUCAAGAAAGCUGAAGGAAGAAUAAAGAGAAGAAGAGGAAUAUCUUUCUCUGCGUUUCAUUUCAGUUACGCACUUGCAAGGUUUCAAGAUGCCGUCGAGAAGCAAGCCUGUACAAUCGGAUUGCCCAGGUAUUGAACAGCUGUAGUGAGAGUACGGCAGAUAUUAUUAGCACCACAGAGAAGUUAAAACAGGAUCUCGAUAUUACUACACAACGAUAAGAAAUCGUGUCAUGCUUUUUACGUGAUUAUCAACUUCUAAUGAAGAGCAAUAAAUGUGCACCUAUGCAUGGCUGUCUUCUGAGCAAAAUGUCUACUUGAGUGCAGAUAAAUGCAUUAAGGGAAGAAGAUCUGAAUGAUAAUUUCUUCAAAGCACUUUCUCAUGUUCAAGAAAUUCAUGCCAACUGUAAG